AUGUAUCUUUACGAGAGGUUUUGCUUCUAAGGACGGUGCAGUAUCGGGUCAAGGACGUUUUAAAAAGACCCGGGUUGAUAGCACCUUWCCGCGGCUGCAUAGUGUCCGUUUCUAGGCAACCGUGACAACRGCGUCGGUCCGUAGCCUUCUCGGGUCCUUUAGCUCCUGACACCAGUGUUUUAUUUUGGUCAUUGUUGUUGCACUUAAUGUUGAUAUGUGUGUGAUAGGCGUGUCUAUCGGACAUUAAUAGAAAUACGGGACGAAUCGCGUCCCGUAUCGGUUCAAUACCGGACGUAACAUUUACCACCUAAAUAUGGGACGAUUUUACGGGACGGGCGGCAACCCUAGAUGGUGACGAUGACACCAAGAGGAAAUCAAACCAAUUAGGAACACAAGAGGAAACCACAGAGUCCUGACCUAGCAAGACAAUGACAGACUCUGGCAAGAAACGAAAGUUACCUGGGUGUUUGGCUCCCCUCCAUGGCGGACAAAAGGUGUGGCAAAGGGCUGAGGUUCCUGAAGUACUGCUGAUGACCUCAUUGGACUGAACCACCUGUGUCAUGCUGGGGGGGGUGUUUUUUGGGUUUAUUUCAUUGUUUGUGCUAGUUGUCAGGUGGCAGCCAUUUUAUUUUCCCCUAUUGUGUCCACAUGGUUUAGCUAAAUCCCCUUUUUAUCCCCUUAUGUCUCGUUUCAGUUAGGUCAGUUUGUUGUUUUGUCAGUUAUGUCUUGAGUCUAGUAAUUUAUGUUGACCUCUUUUAUUGGCAUGCCUGUUUAAUUGUUAUGUUAACUUUUUGUUCAUACUUUUGGGUAAAUAAAAACCCACCUUUUUUGAAUUCAACACCUGUGUUCUGCACUUUGUACUGUCUGGUCCCUGACACCAUGCAAUAAAUGGUUCAGAACUUACCCUUUUUUAGGUUUGAUCACAAAAAUAAUARUUUAUUAAGGUGACUGAGGUUUAGAAUUUGGUAAUAUGGUAAAAUCGCAGGUCAAAGCAGUAACUUUGGGUUGUAUUUUGAAAAUGAAACUUAUUGAAUGAUGGGGUUAAGAUUCAAAUAUGUGUCAAAAAUCAAAUGAACUCAAUGAGCACAUGGGAACAUUUUUGAAACUUUUGAUUUAAAACUUAUUUCUGUAACAAAUCCUGUUAGUAUCUGUGUACAAAUACACAGACAGCAGAUAUACCCCUUUAUCAAUUUACACGCAUUCCUGAUUGGAGAGUAACACAUAGAGAUGGAAUUGCAGCUACAUUAACAAUCAAAACCCAGRAGCAUUUGUUAGUAAAUUCCUUCAGUUGUAAUAUGUUCCAUUGCAGAUCUGCAGUGUGCCAUUAAUGGCUGCUAGACUGCUGUUCAUGUGCUGCUGAUUGUGAGGUGCAGUGAGCACAAUGGCCUCUCAUUAUAGGCUGUAUCCUGCAGUGUUAACAGGUGGAGACUAACCAUACUCAAAUUGCAGAAACCACAAAGGCAACUCAUUCUGUCCACAUGUGCAGUCRUUAAGCAAACAAUCCUAUGUCCAUGCAUGUAAAGGCCASCUCUUCAAAUAUCCAGUUUCACUUCRAAAGAGCCCGGAUGGAUGCAGAGGUGUGCGCCACAUUUUAAUUUCUUUAAAUCCCAGAGGGAGGAGAAGUUUGUGUCGAAAUGGCUUUGCUUUUAAAAAUUGCACAGCAUAAAUGGUUUGUAGUACUAAUAUCAACAGGAGGGAUUUCAGYUUAAAUUGUGAUACUCUGCUUGCCAACAUAUUUCUGCCCUUCUUACUUAAGGGAGAUUUCACUGUAACUCAUCUUUCCCCCCCCUCAUCAUUAAUAUUUCAUAAAUGCUGGGCUGAAAUUAAGAGCCUAUUUGAAUCACUUCCAAUUUCAUUACCACCCACCUAUCCAUUCUGCUCCAACUUUCUCAUUCUGAUUGCGGUUAGAAAGCAGGAUGGAAGAGGUAAUUCUAAAAUGCAAAUGUCCCUAUAUGCUUUGUGCCUUUUUGAAAGUAGAUCACUAUAUGAAAUCUUAUAAGCAGGAGAUUUCUCAGGGUACAAAUGAACUUGAUUUUCAACACUCGCUUUGCAUUUAUGUAAAUUUGAUUAAGUUCUCUCUUUGCAACAAUGAAUGGCUCAUUGGCGUUUGUUCAUUUAGGAGAUUCAUGCUCCCUACAGCCAGCAACAUACCUCAUUAAUGUUGCAAAAGUGCAUUUCCGAUAUCCACUGGCAUUAGAAAUAUUUUCAGGAUAUGCAGAGURAACUGGCGUGAAAAUAAUGUUGCGAACCAAAUGUUGACUACAAUGAUGCCAUUUAACCUGCUGUUAUGUUGUAAAUARUUUGGUGGAUAAUCUCCUCAUCAAAGACAAAGACAAUUUCAGCAGAGAAUUGUCAUCUAGUUCAUUGUCCCAGAAAUUCAACCACUACCUCUGAGAGAUAGUAAAGAAUCUCUCACAGGUACAGGCAGUCUAUCUUAGAGAGACUGUGUGACAGCGACAAAGGAAUGAAAACAAAAAUUCAAAAACCAUACGUGAAAAAUAAAUUAAAACGGCUCCUAAAAUUUAUGGCUUAGGAUUCCCUUUUUGGACUUCAAAUUAGACACGCUCUGGGAUGAAGUCUUAUSAUCCACUGCUGGCAAACCUCAAGCUCCCAAGAGAAAACCCGAGUAAAGCAGGAGAUACUGAUAUAGUCAGAAAAGGAGGAACCGGCAGGGAGGACAAAAAAAAAGAGAUCAUAUUUCGCCCAGCUUUAUUUAAACGUUGCCAAGUUAAGAUGCUGAGUGACAAUUUAAGGUGAAUUUCAGCUGACUUAAGGUUAAAAUGAUAUCGAGCAUUUCUCCCUUGUUUUUCUUAUGAUCCAGAAAGAAGGAUCUAAUUUCACAUUGUCAUUUGCUUUUGGUGACAAUCUAGUUUUAGAAGAAAACAUUGAGAGAUUCAGUUCCCACGUUACUUCCUAACCUGAGAAAUAAUUCCAGACAGAAACUUAAAAAUCCCUAUUUUGUUGCGGACUACAAAAGUUCAGAAAGAUUAUCCAAUUAGACAUUCAGGCCGCUGGUAUCGCUGUCGACUUGCAAUAUAGACUUCCUCUGGCGUUUCAUUAGACCGACCCAGGAGCUAGCUGCUGCAAAGCCAGAGUUAAAUGAGAUCAUAAAUCUGCAGAUCCUUACUUUAUGAGCAUGACGGCAAGUCUAUUAUAACUUUCAUGAGCACUAGGCUGAAGGGGCAAAUGUUAGAARCAAGUUUUGAGAUAUGAGAGAGAGCUGACCGUGACACCGAAUGCAUCACAUCUGAAGAAUUGCUGCACCAGAGGAGGGACAUUGUUAGGAAAAGGGCAUUGGGUGAGAUGUUCAGCAUGGAGAGGGACCAGAAUAAUGAGAAUGCAAGAGGAAUCAAAGAGACACUCUGAAGGCUAGGAUACUCAGAAUUACUAACUGAAGUGUGUAAUCUCACUCCUCCUUUCAUUUCCAUCUUUCAUUGCCAACUUUUUUUUUAUCCGCGCUCUGCAGCUUUUAUGUCUUUUACUCUUUACAAAUUUCAGAAGCAUUAACUUCUCCCAGCACUUGUUGGCAACAAAGCUGACUCAUCUGUCUUUGCCACACASAGCUCAAUUGCGUCUGUGCUGCAKCCAAACAAUCACAUCUCAUUUUUCUAAUUUGCAGCUCACUGCUGAAUUGACUACAUAUAAAUAAACAUGAAAAUACACAGCCCCACUUGAAGCAAACAAUACGUCAGUCUUCAAUGCACCAGCCAGCUGCAGGCCUUUAAAAUAAAACUCAAUGAAGUCUCUCUUCGGAGUCCCUAGUCUCCUCUGCUUCCAAGGAAAACCGAUUACCACAAUCAGCGCAGCGUGGUUGCCAGUCAAUAAUAUGACUCAUAAACUCAUCGUGCCCCCGCCCGCCUUACAUUUACACCCACUCCAUCAAUCCUGCGACUGCCAUCGCUCUGAACGGCGUCCUGCUUUCUUCCCAUCUGCUGCAUCUGACUUGUUCCAGUUCAGAUCACACCUGAAAGGCAGCAGCGCUGGGCAUCAAGUCCACCAAGUGUUUUGUUUUCCUAAGUUGGCAGCAGAGUUGGAGAGGUAGGAGAAAAUGACACCYGCAACUGCGCCRCAAUUUCCAAAGAGUAGUAGCAGCUUCACUGUGUUUCAAAGUGCGACGCCAGCAUGCCAGGUGUCCCGGUGAAAAGCGUUUGGCAUCUGCUGUGGCGUUGCACGGGAACAAGACAGCUUUAUCACAUCUUCUGCUGAACUGGAAGACAGAGGCGAGUGUUUGUGUGAUAAAACACAGCAUAAACUGUGAAAUUACAGUCACUGCUGUAAAUAUGGAUUACAGGAUUGCGUAAACUGAUUAAUAAAUGGCUGCUCAAUGGAGCAAUAAUCUUCAUAGCUAAUUUUAGAAUGUUUUAAUGAUGAUUUUUAAAUAAUAGCAUAAUGUUGCCUAUAACCUAGUUGUUUCCAUAUAGUUAACAUAGCCAACGUAUUUAAAACGCUAUCAUACACAUUGGAUUUAACCAAUGUUCUGUCUCUGAAACCUGCUUCGCAAUAAGUAGACAUAAAAAAAAAAAAAACAUCUGUCAGAACCUGGAUUAAAAAAMAUACAUGGCUAAAAGCAUAAGCGUAAAAGUAAUAUACACAAAUAAAACCCUGCAACCAGUGUUUAAUCUUUAAUCCAUAGCCAAGGAUCACUCUUAACUAUCUGCUUGAUGAGAUUGCUCGGUGGGUGUGAUAAAGUUUACAGCUUUAACACCCAGACAGACACCGUCUGACUGACCCCAAUCAGAUUCAGAGUCCUGGCUCUUUGUAAACUGCCAUUAUUKGUUGCCUUCUCCCAGUUCAUGGGGAGAAUACUUAAGACAACCUUGUGUCUCAAAGAGUUUUUACCCUGGAUAGAAACAAACAAAGACGUACUGCUCCGCUGUCUGUCGCUGCAGUGCUCUGGGGAUCCAACCACGGCACAACGGUGAUUUAUUCAUCACUGCGAUGCACACACAUUCCUGAAGUUAUUUCAAAACAAACUAUAAUUGAGUGGUAAACACAGUCGUUCUUCUCUGCUGAAUAUGUUUUAGAGUAUCAGUCGCUUGCUUUUUGAUCCUUAAUGAUGCAAAACUUUAACCUACAUUUCUUAAGCUGGGUGUCUGAGAUCAAACAAAAAUAUAUUUCUCUUCAUUUGAGUCAGUCAUUCAAUACCUGUAGCAACAUUUAAGCCCAAAACAGGGAAACAGGGUAUAGGGAUAAGGUGAAARGGGAGAUGGAUGAUGGAGGGUGGAGUAGCAAAAACCUGAAGCACUAAGUAUAAAUACGCUGCUUGGGAAAUUAGAGGUGUGAUUUUGGGCAUGACCCUACARCUGAUUCUAAGUUAACAUAUAAACUUCAUUUGAUGAUUAAUUUAAUAUGGUAUUCUGAAAAAGUAUUUACCCACUGACACUCUGUUCUUACUUUUUUUUGUCAGACUUUUUCCAGAUCAUUGGAUUAAUUUACGUAUCAAACCAAGGUAAUAUGAGUAAAUGUAAGAAAAUAUGUUUAAAGGUUUCAUUUAUAGAGAGAAAAGCUAGACAAAUUAACCCGGUGAACUGUAAAACGUAAUUGCCCCUUAAACUGUUUUGAGUCACCGACCGCAGAUGAUAAGUUCAACCAAACAUUCRCAAUCACUGGCAAGGAGUCUAUUUAAAGAUCUAAUUAAUUUCUGAACUUUGACUUGGGCCUYCAUUUUGUGCUAGUUUCUUUUUUAUUCAGUGAUUCAAAGGUGUACUUGGGUCAAGUUGGGUCAUUAGCUUCCUGCAUAUCCCAACAUAUCCUGAUUGAGGAUUUUCUAGUGGAGAGCAGACUUCACGGAUCCAUCAGUUACAACAGGUUAUUCACACUCUGAAGCAGAAAAUUGGCCCAAGGUCAUCAUACUACAACCACCAUAAUUGUGGUGGUGUGAGUGUGGAUAAUCACAUAUAGGCGAGUAUUAAUUCAAAUAGUCUUUCUCUUAAUGAAUGAAACUUUGUUUUGGUUAUCUUUAUGCUAUCUUUGAAGAGAAAAGCAGAAUCUGAGGGUUUACACGAUCCAAGAGUGAAUCUGGGCAUCCAGACAUUGGCUGUUCUCAGUGCCGUUGCAGAAAGGCAAAUAAAUAAUCAGUCAGCUGUGUUCGUGAAUCAGCUAGUUAAAACACAGGCACGGCAAACAAGUGAAGCAGACUUUGAAAAUGGCUCUUAGCAGGAACAGUGCAGAAAGACGCGAGCAUGUUUGUGCCAGGGCGGGGAGCAGCCAUGCAACAGCCACUGGCAUGCCACGAAGAGAGCGUCACAAGAAAGCAGCCCGAUUAUCUUUGAUUGUAGCUCUAAACAUUUUGUGAUUCAUCCUGCUUCUUAGAUCAUCCCAGCCAAACGUCUCAUUAAUAGUGAUGGAAAUUUGAAACGAGGCUUUAAAUUAAUGUUUCAUACACUGCCAUUGUGUAUAAGGGGAGAAUCUUCCUGUCGCAAAGCCAACACAUUUUCAGUCACAGCAAUAUUUUCCAAUGCAAUUGCAUCAAACUCUUUUCUUGGGUUAUUGAAAUUUUUAACUGCACAGGAGCAAUUUUAUUCUAUCGGUUGUGUCGUGGAUAUUCUCCAAAGCAAAAAUAUGCAUUGGUGAUGAUGUAUGAUAAUUAAUUUUGUUAUGUCUUUUGAAAUGCAAAUGGUAAGGCCUCUGAGCCUUGGUUGCAAAGCCUACAUUAUUUGCAUUCUAUAUGGAAAAUUGUGCAUAGAAAACAGCCUCAAAUGGUUGUUUGACUAUAAAGAUGCUGCAGGGAAAGGUGUGGGCUUAGCAGGAUUGUGGAAGAUGUUUUUCAGUUUUUUGUUGUUUUUUUGCUAAAAACCCCCCAAAUAUCUGAGGUAUGUCUACAACUAAGAACAAACAUGUCUGAGAUUAACUUUUGUUUUCCAAAGAUAGAAGGGAGAUGUCAGAUUUUUGGGGACGAAAACAUUCCACCUCAUAUUUCACGGCUGAAUAAAAAGAUAUAAAAGUAGCAGAUGGGUGUUUGGAUAAAAAACAAAAAAAAUCUCAUCAAACAGACGGACUUUCACCCUUGAGACACAAAUGCCUCAUCACAGAAAGAUAGAUUAUAUAUCUGAACACACACACACACACACACACACACGCGCACUCCUACAAAUGUGCACAAUUGCCUGCAUAGACAUAUAUCCAGAUGGUCAUACACCUCUUGGGAUGUUCAAUUUUUGUCAUUUCAACGGAUCUGGGCAUUUGCCUAAUGGCUAAGAUGCCAUAAAAACUCACUCAGCAUAGAGGAAAAUGCAUUCAUUAACACCAGAUGAGCCCUGGAAUAUUGUAGUCCUUAAUUAGCAAAAUUAGACAUUUGGAUAUAAAAUCUGUGAGUAGAAUCCUGAGAUAAGAUCAAAUUUGUAAAAGUUCCUAAAUUAUUUAUAGGUCACAGAUGCAUUUUUAAAAAAAGAGACAAAGUAGAAAGUGAGGGAAUGCAGCACAUUCAAAUCUGUAAAAUUGUCUCUAGUCUUUGCCACCCAACCCUUGAAUAUGAGCACCCUCUUUCCCACCCUGGAGCUGACUGACACACAGGAUCAGCCUGAACAUCAGUCAGGAGAGCUCUCCACCUCCCAUCAGCCCCACAUAGCCAUAUGAUUUACCACAUGGUUGCAUUCUAAAUCACUCACCAAGUACAAGCCGAAUUCAACCUCAUGAUAUUUGUAUAUAUUUGAAACGUUGCUCUAGCAUUUUACGCCUAACUGCAUCCUGUCUUACCUUUUAAAUGACAAACCUCUUUGAGUCAGAUUCUUGAUCUAAGCUCAAUCUGGAAAGUUCACCUCUAAAACCCUUCUUUAAUUUCCUUCUGUUGAACAUGCAAGUCAAUAGCCUCUUUUUAACUUCUUUUUUUCCUGUUUGUUGUGCCACUCAUUUAUUUGUACCACCUUCUCAAUGUCUUGCUUGGAUUUCUCAGUGCAUGCAUAUGCAGCUGCAUGAAGGAAUUUAAAUCGUACUCACACUAACAAUCCUUUCUGAAGUGCCCCCUCUGGAGACGGUUGUCCCAUUGAGUCCCACAAGAGAAGGCAGAGUCUGAGACAUCCAGUUGGUCACCAUGGCCAUAGUGCUGAGCACCGCUCCGAUCUUGAGCAUGGGAACAGUCAUUUUUUCCGUCCUGUGG